UACAUGUGGGGCAAGCGUUGUUCGGAAUUACUGGGCAUAAAGGGUGCGUAGGUGGUCUGUUAAGUCAGUGGUGAAAUCCCGCGGCCCAACCGUGGAACUGCCAUCGAUACUGGCGGACUUGAGUGCGUGAGGGGUUACCGGAACGAGCAGUGUAGCGGUGAAAUGCGUAGAUAUCAGGAGGAACACCGAUGGCGAAGGCAGGUCUCUGGGCUGACACUGACGCUCAUGCACGAAAGCGUGGGGAGCAAACAGG
rnacentral:rRNA from 1 species